rnacentral:rRNA from 1 species
GACGUAGGGGGCCAGCGUUGUUCGGAAUUACUGGGUGUAAAGGGUUCGUAGGCGGUGCGGCAAGUUGGGAGUGAAAUCUCUGGGCUUAACCCAGAGGCUGCUUCCAAAACUGCUGUGCUUGAGUGUGGGAGAGGCGCGUGGAAUUGCAGGUGUAGCGGUGAAAUGCGUAGAUAUCAGGAGGAACACCAAUGGCGAAGGCAGCUCGCUGGGACGUGACUGACGCUGAGACGCGAAAGCGUGGGGAGCAAACAGG